rfam:Daphnia magna strain Xinb3 scaffold00149, whole genome shotgun sequence.
UCACUCUGGUUUCUAAUCACUACCCGGAUAAAUCUUUCGCCUUUUACUAAAGAUUACCUUGUUUAGGAGCACUGACGAGUCUAUAUGACUACUAAUACUCCUACAUUUCCUCUAUGAGACU